rnacentral:rRNA from 1 species
GUGCACCAGGCGCGAAAACUUUACAAUGCGGGAAACCGUGAUAAGGGAACCUCGAGUGCUGGCGCAUAGCGUCGGCUGUCCAGAUGCCUAAAAAGCAUCUGAUAGCAAGGGCCGGGCAAGACCGGUGCCAGCCGCCGCGGUAAACACCGGCGGCUCGAGUGGUGGCCACGUUUUAUUGGGUCUAAAAGCGUCCGUAGCCGGCUCGGCAAGUCCCCUGGGAAAAUCUGGCGGCUCAACCGUCAGGCGUCCAGAGGAUACUGCUGGGCUUGGGACCGGGAGAGGUGAGAGGUACCUCAGGGGUAGGGGUGAAAUCUUGUGACCCCUGAGGGACCACCAGUGGCGAAGGCGUCUCACUAGAACGGGUCCGACGGUCAGGGACGAAAAGCUAGGGGCACGAA